UACGUAGGGGGCAAGCGUUGUCCGGAUUUAUUGGGCGUAAAGAGCGUGUAGGCGGCCAGGUAGGUCAGCUGUGAAAACUCGAGGCUCAACCUCGAGACGCCGGUUGAAACCAUCAGACUAGAGUCCGGAAGAGGAGAGUGGAAUUCCUGGUGUAGCGGUGAAAUGCGCAGAUAUCAGGAAGAACACCCGUGGCUAAGGCGGCUCUCUAGUACGGUACUGACGCUGAGACGCGAAAGCGUGGGGAGCGAACAGG
rnacentral:rRNA from 1 species